AGACCAAACGGUUGAGGAAAUGGAAUCUUUAUAAAAACGAUCAGUUCAAUCAGUUCCUUGGAUGGGAUGAUAAAGUUUAUACCAGUCAGGCAGUUUUCUGAAGCCUCACAUUCCUUUUCUUUCUUUUCUGUAUUCAUUGUAUUGUUUCCAUGUUUUUUUCAACAUGAGAAGAUUAUUGGUUCUCCUAUCAGUCUUUUUGAUCCUAGUUUCCUGUUGUCCUGAGAGCGACUUCCUGUGUGCGUCUGGCAAAUGUGUCCCAGUUGAUGAUGUCUGUGAUUUCAAGGACGACUGUGACGAUGGUUCCGAUGAGGAGUUCUGUGGGUCGUGUGAUUUUGAGCGCCACUCCUGUGGAUGGAACGACAGCAGUGUGGGAGUGUACCGCUGGAGGCUGGAGAUGGCUAACAUCAGCCUGAUUCCUGGACAGGACCACACCACGGGAUCACCCUGGGGUCAUGUUAUGCAUGUGGAAGGAGACUCAGCAACACACUUUGGCAAGGCCGUGUUGUUGCAUUCCGUUGACAAACCAAUGGCUUUGGGAUGCCAUAUAAGCUUCUGGUACCACCUCUAUGAUGACUUUAGUGUGUCCACUCGGAUGUAUCUGAAGAUGAUCCGAAACACUGGGAGCACAGAAUUACUGAUGAUCUCCAAGCCACAGCAGAAUAGAGGAUGGGAGAAUGCUACGGCCUUCAUCGGUAAUCAACCAGGAGGUUUCAAGUUGGAGUUUUCUGUGGACCCCUCAUUCCUUGGAGCUCAGGACAUCAUGCUGGAUGAUAUCAGCUUUGAGAGCUGUGGGGAAGGGGACAUACCUGCAGGCUCCCAACUCCUCACCUGUGACUUUGAGAAGGACACCUGUGCCUGGUACCCAGACCACACUGUUUCCCUUCUGUGGAAGAGAGCAAGAGGAAUAGACCACACUACUGGCAGUGGUUAUUUCAUGUCCAUUACCCCCGGCAGUAAGCUGGACCCCUCAUCAACAGCCAGACUCAUCAGCUACCCUCAGCCAGCAGGCACAGUGAUCUGUGUUAGCUUCUGGUAUCGCAUGUACGGCAGUGAUGUUGGCUCCGUGAGGUUCCUCACCAAGUCAACCAGAGAGCCAGAGACUGUUGUGUGGAUGAGACAUGGGACUCAGGGGAACAAGUGGCGCUUUACAGACCUUACCUUCACCACUGACACCCCACUACAGUUCAUAUUGGAGGCUGUGGUGGGUGGUAAGCAAGGUAGCAUUGUCAUAGACGACAUGGUAGUGAGCAGCAGCAGCAAUGUGAAUGGCUCCUGUCCGGCGGAGAGAGAGUGCACCUUCCAGGGGUCCCUGUGUGGCCUGCAGGUGGAGAUGUCUGGAGACUUCACUUGGAACAGAACCACCGGGGCCCUGGGAGCCAACACCUCCAGCCCAGCGCUGGAUCACACUCUGGGUACUGAACUGGGAUACUACCUGAGUGCCCAGCUGUGGAACCACCACGUGGGUAGCAGGGGGCGUAUGAUAACGGGAGUGAACGAUGCCACCCCUCGCAGUGGAGAGUGCUGGAUGUUUUGGUACCACAUGGAGGGCAGGGCCUCAGGGGAGCUCAACAUCUAUCUGCAGCCCUUCCCAGGCUCCAGGACCCAGACCCUACUGUGGAGCAGGACUGGAGACCAGGGAGAUCGCUGGAGACACGGCCGAACUACGGUCCUCAGCCCUGAUAUACCUUACCAGGUCAUCUUUGAGGCUGUGGCCGGGGAUGGCCGGGAGGGGGACAUUGCCAUUGAUGACCUCACCCUUGUUAAUGGGCCUUGUCCGCCACAAGGGUUCUGUGACUUUGAGAUUGACUACUGUGGCUGGCUGAACAGUCCCCCAGCUGUGUCAGGAGUGGACUGGGAAUGGUGGUCAGGGUCCAGUGGAGGACGCUUCUCUCCAAAAGUGGACCACACCACCAACUCUGGCCAGGGACACUACAUCAUCUUCACGACAGGUGUAUUUUCCUCUGGACUGGAGAUUACCCAGCUGCAGAGUGAACCUAUGGAGGCGGUAGAGAAUGCAUGUAUAGAGUUCUGGUACUUCAUGGACAUGUGGGGAACCAUGGACCAGAUGGAGCUGACAGUCUAUGUGAAUGAGACAGGUGUUCUACGUUCGAUAUGGAGCAGAUUUGGUCAACUCGACCCAAUCUGGUAUCAGGCCAUGGUGGACUACAACGCUACAGGACCACACCAGAUCAUAUUUUCCACCAGGCGCCCCGGCAGAGAAGAUGGAGGCAUAGCCCUGGAUGACAUCCACGUUAGGAUGAACCUGACCUGUGCAGAGCUGAUCCCAACCACUUCAGCCCCCACCACAGUACCCACCACCCCUCCAGCCACUCCUAUGGACUGCACCUUUGAACAUGGCCUGUGUAACUGUGUCCAGGAGACCGACGACGCCUUCGACUGGGUCCACUCCCAAGGCCUGCAGGUGGACCAGCCAUGGAAUGGACCGCUGUACGACCACACGGUCGGAAAUGACAAAGGGUUUUACCUGAUGGUGAAUAUGUCUGGUAGCGUGGACGGUGAGACCGCAGUCGUCUCUGUUCCUCUUACGUUCCAAACCACGGACCUCUGCGUUGGCUUCUGGUAUUACAUGUUGGGACCAUCUGUGUCCAACCUGGACCUCUUAGUGCAGACGAAAACAUCAAGAACUGUGGUGUGGACUCGCCAAGGCAGCCAGGAUUCAGAGUGGAUGAAUGCACAGGUUCAACUUGGCAUAGCAGACACACAGGAGGUUCAGUUCUCUGGAAGCAGGAAUACCUCUGGCAGUGGGUUUAUAGCCAUCGAUGAUGUCACAGUCAAGGAAGGGGCCUGCAAAGAUCAACAUCCGUGUGGAUUUGAGGUAGACUCCUGGUGUGACUUUGAGGUAGACGUGAGUCACAAGGGGCGCUGGGGCCGUUUGAGAGGCAGCAAGGACCGAUUGGACCACACCUACAGAACUGAGAACGGUUUCUAUCUGACUGUGUUGAAACGGAGCUCCGAGGAGACCGAGGUGGCUCAGUUGCUUUCUUCAGAGCUAAGCUCUACCACAGGGAUGUGUGUUCGCUUCUGGUACUGGCUGCCUGCUGGCUCCACUGACCGUCUGUCAGUGCAUGUCCUGAGGAGCGAGGAGCAGGGCCUGGCUCUGUGGCAGCGUUCUGGAGCUCCCUCUACAGGCUGGGAGGUGGCAGAACUCACUGUGUCCGCCCCUAACACCUUUAAGGUGGUUUUCAGAGCGGAGCACGCGCCGGGCUCUGAUUCGACGGUGCAGAUUGAUGACGUGUCUAUGAGGGAAGGAGCCUGUACUCCCACGGGCAGCUGUGACUUUGAGUCUGGCCAGUGUACCUGGGUCAACGAGGCCCGGACAGGCGGACACGACUGGGUACAGGCAGACGGACGCUUCCAUGGCCCAGACACUGACCACACCAGUCAGACACCAGAGGGGAGGUUUUUGCUGAGCCCGGCCCUGCCACAGAACCAGAGCAGUCGGGCCGUGGUGGUCUCCGAGUGGAUCCAGUCUCAGACUGAAGCCACCUGCCUUACCAUCUGGUACCACAUGAAUGGCAGUGAGUCUGGGUCCCUGCGCGUGUUUGAGCGCUCUGGUCCAACAAAACAAGAGUUACUGUUUGAGACCCAGUCUGGGGGAUCCAACUGGACCCGUUUUUCUGGCUCUGUGGAGAAGUCUGGCCCAUUCCAGGUGCUGAUAGACGCAGAAUCUGGAGACCGUGGAUUUAUUGCUGUUGAUGACAUCAUUGUAACGCCAGGGCUUUGUCCAGACAAUGGGACCAGCGGCGACUUUGUGGGGUGCUCCUUUGAGAACGGCACCUGUGAUUGGGCGGAUGUCAGUGUGGGCCAGUUUACCUGGCAGCGGGGCAGGAAUGGCACUACCACGGAAAACACUGGUCCGUCACUAGACCACACCCUGGGCACUGAGCUGGGCUGGUACAUGGCGGUGGAGUCUAGCCGUGGGGAUGUGGACAGCUUUGCAGCGCUGCAGAGUCCCACCAUGAAGCAGGCCAGUGCUGUGUGCUCGCUGGAGUUCUACUACCACAUGUAUGGAACAGGUGUAGGGGAACUCCGUGUGCUUCUUCAGGAGGGUUCUAGGACCACUCCUCUGUGGUGGCGGUCGGGGGACCAAGGGGACGCGUGGCGUCGGGGGGGAGGUGAUCGUGGGUCGUACCCCCCCAUGUGUUCACCCUGUUCUUCCAGGCGACCAGGACCUUCAGUCAGCUAGGGGACAUCGCCAUCGACGACAUCCUCUUCCUCAACUGUAGUCUGCCUGAGCCCCAGGACUCCUGUCCAGCUGGACUGUUCACCUGCUCUAACCGUGUGUGUGUGGCGCAGAGCCGAGUGUGUGACUACACCGACGACUGUGGGGAUGGGACUGACGAGGUCGACUGUGAAAAGCAGGGUUACGAAGGGCACUGCAGCUUUGAGCAGGGCCUGUGCUCCUGGGAGGAGAGUGAGGUGGACACCCCCGGGGCUGACUGGACCUUCCAGAAGGGAGAGAGCGCCUGGCCUCGACACGGGCCGCCGAGGGACCACACCAAAAACAACGGAGCAGGGCACUAUGUGAUUCCCGGGAGCCACCUUACUGAGAAGGGCCAGACAUCAGAGCUGCUUUCCAGCACUCUGCUACCCAGCUCCAACUGCACCGUGAGGUUCUUCUACUACAGUCAGGAUGAGGAGACGGCCAGUCUGACUAUGAGGCUGA